CUCAAGUGUAACCUAAUAUAUGAUGGUGAAGUCAAUGAAAGUCUAAAGAUGACAAUUACGAAAGUAAUAUAUUUAGUGGCACUGUUUUGUUUAGUAUUUGUGCUCGGCGAAGACCAACCCUGUGCAUCUCGUGAUGGUGAUAACGAAGAGAGCACAGUUUGUGUUUGCAAUUCAACGUACUGUGAUACAGUAUCACGGGAAGCACCUGCCGUCGGAUCUUAUGUGAUCUACACUAGUAGUAAAUCGGGCAAAAGGUUGGAAAAAUCAAAUGGUACGAUUGAAAGCUAU